GGAAGGGGUGUAUUUAUUAGAUUAAAAACCAAUGCCCUUCGGGGCUCUCUGGUGAUUCAUAAUAACUUCUCGAAUCGCACGGCCUUGCGCUGGCGAUGGUUCAUUCAAAUUUCUGCCCUAUCAACUUUCGACGGCUGGGUCUUGGCCAGCCAUGGUGACAACGGGUAACGGAGGGUUAGGGCUCGACCCCGGAGAAGGAGCCUGAGAAACGGCUACUACAUCCAAGGAAGGCAGCAGGCGCGCAAAUUACCCAAUCCCGACACGGGGAGGUAGUGACAAUAAAUACUGAUACAGGGCUCUUUUGGGUCUUGUAAUUGGAAUGAGUACAAUUUAAAUCCCUUAACGAGGAACAAUUGGAGGGCAAGUCUGGUGCCAGCAGCCGCGGUAAUUCCAGCUCCAAUAGCGUAUAUUAAAGUUGUUGAGGUUAAAAAGCUCGUAGUUGAACCUUGGGCCUAGCCGGCCGGUCCGCCUCACCGCGUGCACUGGCUCGGCUGGGCCUUUCCUUCUGGAGAACCGCAUGCCCUUCACUGGGUGUGCUGGGGAACCAGGACUUUUAC
rnacentral:rRNA from 1 species